UAUACCGUGAAACUGCGAAUGGCUCAUUAAAUCAGUUAUCGUUUAUUUGAUAGUACCUUACUACUUGGAUAACCGUGGUAAUUCUAGAGCUAAUACAUGCUAAAAACCUCGACUUCGGAAGGGGUGUAUUUAUUAGAUAAAAAACCAAUGCCCUUCGGGGCUUCUUGGUGAUUCAUAAUAACUUAACGAAUCGCAUGGCCUUGUGCCGGCGAUGGCUCAUUCAAAUUUCUGCCCUAUCAACUUUCGAUGUUAAUGUAUUGGAUUAACAUGGUUUCAACGGGUAACGGGGAAUUAGGGUUCUAUUCCGGAGAGGGAGCCUGAGAAACGGCUACCACAUCCAAGGAAGGCAGCAGGCGCGCAAAUUACCCAAUCCCGACACGGGGAGGUAGUGACAAUAAAUACUGAUACAGGGCUCUUUUGGGUCUUGUAAUUGGAAUGAGUACAAUUUAAAUCCCUUAACGAGGAACAAUUGGAGGGCAAGUCUGGUGCCAGCAGCCGCGGUAAUUCCAGCUCCAAUAGCGUAUAUUAAAGUUGUUGCAGUUAAAAAGCUCGUAGUUGAACCUUGGGCCUGGCUGGCCGGUCCGCCUCACCGCGUGCACUGGUCCGGCCGGGCCUUUCCUUCUGGGGAGCCGCAUGCCCUUUACUGGGUGUGUCGGGGAACCAGGACUUUUACUUUGAAAAAAUUAGAGUGUUCAAAGCAGGCCUAUGCUCGAAUACAUUAGCAUGGAAUAAUAGAAUAGGACGUGUGGUUCUAUUUUGUUGGUUUCUAGGACCGCCGUAAUGAUUAAUAGGGAUAGUCGGGGGCAUCAGUAUUCAAUUGUCAGAGGUGAAAUUCUUGGAUUUAUUGAAGACUAACUACUGCGAAAGCAUUUGCCAAGGAUGUUUUCAUUAAUCAGUGAACGAAAGUUAGGGGAUCGAAGACGAUCAGAUACCGUCGUAGUCUUAACCAUAAACUAUGCCGACUAGGGAUCGGGCGAUGUUAUCUUUUUGACUCGCUCGGCACCUUACGAGAAAUCAAAGUCUUUGGGUUCUGGGGG
rnacentral:rRNA from 1 species